GAUGGGUUUGACAGCCAAUAUUACAAAAGGUUUGGCGACAUAUUAGUGCCUUACCUGGUUAGACUGUUCACAGAGGCAGCUCUCCAAGCUGAACUCCCCAGGGAAACGUUGGCCGCGCAUAUUGUCACACUCCCUAAACCGAACAAACCCCCAACAGUACCGCAGAACUUUCGACCCGUCUCCCUCCUAAAUACAGAUGCGAAACUGUUCGCCAAACUAUACGCUAACCGCCUGGGAAACAUACUACCGCAUAUCAUCCAUAAUGACCAGGGCUUCAUCAAAGGGAGACAGG